rnacentral:rRNA from 1 species
UACGGGAGGCAGCAGUGGGGAAUAUUGCACAAUGGGCGGAAGCCUGAUGCAGCAACGCCGCGUGCGGGAUGACGGCCUUCGGGUUGUAAACCGCUUUCGCCUGUGACGAAGCGUGAGUGACGGUAAUGGGUAAAGAAGCACCGGCUAACUACGUGCCAGCAGCCGCGGUAAUACGUAGGGUGCGAGCGUUGUCCGGAAUUACUGGGCGUAAAGAGCUCGUAGGCGGUUUGUCGCGUCGUUCGUGAAAACCCGAUGCUUAACAUCGGGCGUGCGGGCGAUACGGGCAGACUUGAGUACUACAGGGGAGACUGGAAUUCCUGGUGUAGCGGUGAAAUGCGCAGAUAUCAGGAGGAACACCGAUGGCGAAGGCAGGUCUCUGGGCAGUAACUGACGCUGAGGAGCGAAAGCAUGGGUAGCGAAC